rnacentral:lncRNA from 1 species
UUUAACUGGAUAUAACUUUUUACAAACAAAUUUCAGUAUUCCCUCCAUCUCAAAGUAGAUUUACAAACUAGAACAUUCCCUCAAAAAAUAAUUACUUUUUUCAGAACAAAAUAAUUACUGUCCCACCACUAAAAGGUCUCAAAUUAGCUUAUUUGUUCCCACCAAAUAAAUAGCUUAUAUUAACCUUCCCGCUAAAUACCAUCCUAACAGAACCACACAACGGCGUCUUCAACGGAGAUUGGAUCUGAGCUCUCAUCUCUGGUUCCUCUGUGCUGCCGGCGUCAACGUAGCGAACCACGCUCCAGUCAGCUGCACGGCGUCAGGUAAUUCCUCCCGAUCUCCUCUCUUCCCGAACCUCCGGUCCUCCUCGGUCUCGCCCUCCUCCCUCUCCUCUGACUCUGAGCCCGCCGACGUGGGCCCCGUCUCCGUGUCCUCGGCCAUGCCGGCGGCGGCAACGAUGCGGUCUGGCGUCGGCGCCGGCGGAGUUCCCGUCUCGUCCCCUUGCCUAUUAAUCCUGUGUUUGGACCAAGCACGACACCACCUCGGUGUUGCACGCCGCGACAAUGCCCGCCCGGGCUCAAAUCCCCCUCCCCUCACGAACUCCUCCUGGACGCGCCGCCACCCACGCUCAGACCUCGCCGCCGCCCAUGGCCUCCGUCCACGCAGGGAGAUCAAACGAGCAGAUCGAGCGGCGGCCAGAUCCAUCUGCCACGGUCGCCCAGGGCUCGCGCGCCUCGGACGACGCGGCCGUGUCCGUACGUCAAGGGCCUGGGCAGAGACGCUUCUUCUCCGCCAUGGCCAUGGAGCUUCCUCCCAAUCCAAGGUCUUGGACUGGACGGGGACGGCUGCUCUUCCAAGGUCUCGUCUCUUCUCUUCCGAUCCAUCCAUCCCACACCCCAUUCUAUUUGCAUCUGUGUAGAUACAUAUUCAGAUCAAACUGAACCCCCACCCAUGGGCUCAAGCAUGCGUACGAAUGCUCCAACACCCUAAUUAAGCACAAUCCAAACUGCACAUAGACCAUCCUUGGUUGGGAUGCCGAUCCAAAGUUCCAAACCUAAAUCGCUCCAAACCCAACCAUCUGAGAGUUAAGUUUUGGACUGAACCAACCACACAUGGACUGAAGCACUCGCUCGGCUCUUUUCUCCUCCAUGGCUCUUUCAUUGUUUUUGAGAUAGCUUACCACUCAUGCCAAGUGGUACCUCCAUGGCUCUUUCAGUUCCUCUUCUCCGCUGCUAGCCUACUACAUCGAGGCUUCAAGGCCACCAUGCUGGCUGCUUGCUGCGGCAUCCAGUCUAUUAGCCACGGCUGCAUCCUUCAGCUAGUCCUACUCAUGCUGUAGCCUGCACGUCACUGCUGAACUGCUGCCGAGUGCCAAAGGACAGAAUGAGCAAGCACGGGAACUGUAGGAGCUAGCGAGAUAUAUAUGCUUCUCCUAUUUUAAUCAGAGGGUAGUUCCGUUGGUAUCAUUUGCACCACUACUGAUUCUCACAGUCUAGCACUAGCACACAGGGCAAAUAUGUAAAAAAAAGAACGGAUGACACUCUGUAUUGCAGCUGGAUUGCUAGUAAUUAAUCUAGUAAUUACUUCAUAGAAAUCAGGAGGAAAUUAACAUAACCAAAGAAGAUGACAAUUGACAAAUAUUCAUAACGAUAGGUCAUACUGAUGAUCACUGACGGCCAGCUCAAAUUUUCAAUUUAUGUUGUGAGUUAGUCUUGUUUUUUUGUUGGUUUUAGUUUGAGAAUGACCCCCUCUAAGUUACUUCCCACGCUCUGCUACUGCGCGCACGCACACAGCCCACACGGUACUGCAGUAUUUGGGUGCACACUCAGUACAAAUAUCUUUAGCUUCUACUAUAUGUUCAGGACUUAAUCUUUGUCCAAUAUCUUUAGCUUCUCAAUUGUGUACUCAAGCAAACUUGCUCAUGGCCCUCACAAGAAAUUUAACAAAAGAAUGCUUGGAUAAAUCUCUCCCGUUAAGAGAAUAGUGACCUUAGAACAUAACUGGUUGUACCAAGUUUAAUAGGGAUAUGUACGAUCAUUUCUAAUUAGCUGUACUUCAUAUUUCACUUUACCUUGCUCUGUAAGCAUGGGAUUUAUGUUGCUUUACUUGCAUUGCUAAAAGUGCACUUCUAUUUACAGGUGCCUACAAAGAAGGUUGACAAAGAAAAUAGUAAUCUGAACUUGCAAAAUAUUCAUUUACAGAGAUCUAGUCCUAAUAAGACUCCAGGUUCAAGGCCAACUGCUAUUUCUAAAAAUGCGCUCAUACAAGUUGCAGCAAGGCAUUCUUGAAUGUUUAAAGCAAUGGUAAGUCACAACAUUGCUUUCUCUUCAUGUUCACCUGCAUUUUAUACGUCAUUGGCCUUCAUAAUUAGCUAGCUGCUUCUUCUCUUUUACCAUGUGUUGUUGCUGCAUUGGGUCACAACUUAAACAAAAAACGAAUAUGUGCUAGCUAGGGACACGAACUUAACUGAACUAUACAUCGAGUCACAACUUAAAUCAAUAGCAGAAGCUUUUAGUAGAUGUACGAUCGGAUGAUGGCACCAUUUUGUAUGUAUGAGGAGGAUGUCAUGAGCAUGCGCGUGAUGCCUUCGCUGCCGAGUCCAUUGCAACGUCCCAUGCAAUAUCUCUUGCCGUUGAUAUGGUGGGGGUCGUGAGGGUUGUUUUUAAAACGGACUCGCAACUCCUGAUGGAAGCACUGAAUAUCAAUAAGGUGGACUCAUCGGCCUAUGGUGCUGUUAUUGAGGAUACCAAGACCAGCUCAAAUUAUGGUUUUCUUAUUAUGAAGUAAAUGUAUGUCGUCGCUCGGCAAACUCUGUUGCUCACGAGCUUGCUAGUCUUGGUAGGAUGUACGAACCUAACCACUAUGUGGAAUGGGAGGACGACGUACCAGCCCUUGUGGCUGCCUGUGCUUUGGGUGAUUCAGCCCAACACUGUUAAGUUAUAAAGCAAUGUUUUUUUUCUAAAAAGGAAGCUUUUAGUAGAUGUACUUGUGCUUAUGCUUUAGACAUUUACACUUGUAUAAUUGUUUUGAUCCCUCAGUUACAUGCUUGCUGACACAGUAUUAAUCCAGUUAGUCUGGCGUAGUUCUUUUUACAAUGGGGCUGGAAUAAUUGUAUGGCGUAUGUUAUGUUCGACUCAUUAACUAGAAUUUUUUUAUUUCUUGAUUGCAGGAUCCAAAGAACUAGCUGGACUAGACUCUAGAUCAUGGACAAUUUAGUCUUCGCAGUUAAUUAGGAUGGCUAAAUUACAUUUGAGUUUCAUUUGAUGGAUAUUUGCUAUGAGAAUUAUGAAUUUUAUGAAUCUACAUAUUAUUCGUAUGGUUUUGAAUAUUGUAAUUGAAAGCCUGUUUUUUAAUGGUUGCAAUAGGCUAUUACGAUAACCCACUUUCGGUUGACACAUGCUAGCACCACCAAAAAUACAGUGUUGAGUCAUAUCUCAGUCGCUACGCCUACAUGUUUUGUUUCAUUAGGAUGUUGCAACGAAGCACUUUAUGUUGUCGCAAUAGCUUAACACCACAAUUUUUUUCAUGAUGCGAUAACUAUUUGAUGCCACCAAAGUAUGUUUUGUUGAAAUAGAGUAUUGCCACGAAAGUUUAAAUUGUCGCAAUAGUUUCUCGCUACAAAGAUUUUACCUGUUGUGAUACCUAUUUAUCACCACCAAAAUUAGUAUGUUGCAAUUUCCUGUUACGACGACUUGUAUAUUUGUUGCCAUAAGUUUACGCCACAAGCGCAAUAUUUGUUGCCAUAAGUUAACGCCACAAGCGUAGUGGGUCGUGGCAACAUGCCUAAUGUAACGAAAACAAGGAUUGUUGCCAUAGUUUAUUGCCACAAGUGAUUAUUUCCACGGAAGAGUAAUGUGCCACGAAACGACCGUCGUUGGUAUAGGUUGUUGCCACAAAUGUCUAUCGCUACGAGAUAUUAGUCGCC